AUUCGCUGCUGGGCCAGCUCCAGGAAUUCCAGGGUGACUGCAUCACGGCUCUCGCAGCCCUGGGCUGCAAAAAAUCACAGCCACCCCGUGAUGGGCCUUAUCCUAGAGCCCACCAGGAGUUUCCCAGUGUCACAAAGCACCUUUAGGUUGAUAAUUGCAGGUCUUGGACCUUUUUAAUGAGAUUGCAGUGUGAUAAAUGCUGGUAUGGGGAGUUGUCACAAUGCCAGACUGAAGACUAUUUGUUGAAGAAGAAUUUCCCUUUUACUGUGUUUCUUUAAAAUAUAAGUAAUUAAGUAAAGCACUUUUGUAUCUCAAAACCAGCUCACAGCUGAGACAAGAUGAAAGAUUCAUCUGAAGAGAGAAGAAAACCAAAACCCUAUGAAUUUUUACCAACCAAUCAACCAACCCAAGAAGUUACAGCUCUGAAGAGGAAACAUCUCAGGAAUUGUGUGAAACUUAUUGGUCCAGAGCUACUGGACUACAGAAGGAGUUCUUUCUCUUGGGUCAUGGCUUUCAAAAGUUAUUUCUCUGCAAAGCAACAGGUUUCCAUUACCCUAGUCACUUCUGUUACAACAUUCCUUGCCUCUCCUCCAGUUCCAGCACCUCCACAGGAGUCAACCUUCUUGGAGUCCAUUCCCCCUUGGCUAUAGGCUCUGCUGUCUUAUGCCAAGCUGCAAAUGCAGGCAACGAAAUUGGCAGGGAGUCGUGGGUUUUGUGCUGAUGUGUCCAGAAUUCAAAUAAUUUCAUUCUCGGCUAUAAUGACAAUUGGAGGCAGAGUAUUACCUUGAGAAAAGAGAAGGGAGAGAUGGCUUCUGGAUCCUGUAUUGAAUUAACAACCGAUUCCCAUUUACUCUCUCUGCUGAAAACUCUAUUAUGCAGGGCUCUUAUUGCCCUUAUUCAAGGGCAGGGAAUUAAAAAAGUGAUAUCGAUGGUAAUGCUCUCAUCUUCCUGCCAUGACACUGAAUAAUGGGGACAAAGAAGGGGAAUCUUGACGGAUGAUACGCCUUUUAAAAUACUGCUGAUAGCGAAAACACGGAAAGGACGACGCAUUUGAGUAUCAGUGAUGAAGUCGUAUUCAGAUAUCUGUGCUUUUUGCCUAGGACUUUAAAUCAGCUUUGCUUUCCCUUUUGUUGUUGUUUUUGGAAGAUUUUAUUUUCUUGUUUUUGCAGGAGAGAGUCCUUACUGUAAGGAACAUAAUCGAGAUGAGGUAAAGUGUUGCUUACAGUAAUUCCAAGAGAAAUCUGCUCUCUCUCCUCCUGGACUCAGAGGGCAAGCAUUGCAAAUCUGGUAGGGAAAAGUCCAGCAAUGGAUUGGUAUAAUUAUUUGGGGAGAGCAAUGCUGCUGCUCAAGUGGAGGCUCUUCUGGCACUUUCCAGUUCAUCUUAAACUCUUCUGAAUUUACAUGAACUAAAUAAAACUGGUGGUCUUAUAAAAAGUUA